CCGGCCAGGAUCCCCAGACGCUGCGUCACAACUCCCCCGCUGGCGCGGGCGGGGAAGCAACUGCAAAACUUUCCGCAAACUUCACGGCGUGGUGGGACCUGGGCUACGAGGUCCGGCCAGCCCGGGGCGGGGGCGUGCAGCUGACCCAGCAUUUUCGUGACCCCUGUGUCAGUGUUCCCGGUGCAGGAGUGUAGCACUUUUGCUUGUUGGGGCUGCAUCCAGAAACCUGGGGAAAAUCUGUCCACUGGACGUCUCAGAAGACCGGCAUCAUCACUCCCACCAACUGGACUGCUGGCCGGUAGCAAAAGACCAGCUGGAAAUUUCAUAAAAGGUUAGACAAUCCACAGUUACUCAGUGUUACGCAACAGGUCUCUGCAGCACAGAGCACGAACUGGGGAGUCAGGAUGCUGGAGUCCAGCCCUGCCUCUCUGCGGAUUCCCUGCCUGACCUUGGGAAAGCCUCUUGGGGUCUCGGGGCAUAGGGCAGGACUGAGACGUUGAGACCCCAAGUGCAAAGAAGACACAUUUCUCCUACCACGAGUAAUCAAAAACACUAUGAAACUGUAAUAUGGGCCGGGUGCGGUGGCUCACGCCUGUAAUCACACUUUCGGAGGCCGAGGAGAUUGAGCCCAGGAGUUGAAGACCAGCCUGGGCAACAUAGGCAGAUCCCAUCUCAUUUUGUUAAUAUAAAAUUUUUAAAUAAUAAUAAAACUGUAAUAUAAAUU
rnacentral:lncRNA from 1 species